rnacentral:rRNA from 1 species
GACGAACGCUGGCGGCGUGCCUAAUACAUGCAAGUCGAACGAACUCUGGUAUUGAUUGGUGCUUGCAUCAUGAUUUACAUUUGAGUGAGUGGCGAACUGGUGAGUGACACGUGGGAAACCUGCCCAGAAGCGGGGGAUAACACCUGGAAACAGAUGCUAAUACCGCAUAACAACUUGGACCGCAUGGUCCGAGCUUGAAAGAUGGCUUCGGCUAUCACUUUUGGAUGGUCCCGCGGCGUAUUAGCUAGAUGGUGGGGUAACGACUCACCAUGGGAAUGAUACGUAGCCGACCUGAGAGGGUAAUCGGCCACAUUGGGACUGAGACACGGCCCAAACUCCUACGGGAGGCAGCAGUAGGGAAUCUUCCACAAUGGGCGCAAGCCUGAUGGAGCAACACCGCGUGAGUGAAGAAGGGUUUCGGCUCGUAAAACUCUGUUGUCAAAGAAGAACGUAUCUAAGAGUAACUGCUUAGGUAGUGACGGUAUUUAACCAGAAAGCCACGGCUAACUACAUGCCAGCCGCCGCAGUAA